GCCUUGCUGAUGAGUACUAAAUAGGACGAAACCUAGGUCCAAGAC
rnacentral:hammerhead_ribozyme from 1 species